rnacentral:rRNA from 1 species
UACGUAGGGGGCAAGCGUUAUCCGGAUUUACUGGGUGUAAAGGGAGCGUAGGCGGCAUGGUAAGCCAGAUGUGAAAGCCUUGGGCUUAACCCGAGGAUUGCAUUUGGAACUAUCAAGCUAGAGUACAGGAGAGGAAAGCGGAAUUCCUAGUGUAGCGGUGAAAUGCGUAGAUAUUAGGAAGAACACCAGUGGCGAAGGCGGCUUUCUGGACUGAAACUGACGCUGAGGCUCGAAAGCGUGGGGAGCAAAUAGG